GGAUCAUUACAAGAAGCCGAAAGGCUACUUCAAACCAUCGCGAACUCGUCCAAGUUGCUUCGGCGGCGCGGCACCCCUUAACGGGGGCGCCGCAGCCCUGCCUCUCCGGAGGUCCGGGGCGCCCGCCGGAGGUACGAAACUCUGUAUUAUAGUGGCAUCUCUGAGUAUAAAACAAAUAAGUUAAAACUUUCAACAACGGAUCUCUUGGUUCUGGCAUCGAUGAAGAACGCAGCGAAAUGCGAUAAGUAAUGUGAAUUGCAGAAUUCAGUGAAUCAUCGAAUCUUUGAACGCACAUUGCGCCCGGUAGUACUCUACCGGGCAUGCCUGUUCGAGCGUCAUUUCAACCCUCAAGCCCUGCUUGGUGUUGGGGCCCUACGGCUGCCGUAGGCCCUGAAAGGAAGUGGCGGGCUCGCUACAACUCCGAGCGUAGUAAUUCAUUAUCUCGCUAGGGAGGUUGCGGCGUGCUCCUGCCGUUAAAGACCCAUCUUUAACCAAGGUUGACCUCGGAUCAGGUAGGAAUACCCGCUGAACUUAAGCAUAUCAAUAAGCGGAGGAAAAGAAACCAACAGGGAUUGCCCUAGUAACGGCGAGUGAAGCGGCAACAGCUCAAAUUUGAAAUCUGGCUUCGGCCCGAGUUGUAAUUUGUAGAGGAUGCUUUUGGUGAGGUGCCUUCUGAGUUCCCUGGAACGGGACGCCAGAGAGGGUGAGAGCCCCGUAUAGUCGGCCACCGAUCCUUUGUAAAGCUCCUUCGACGAGUCGAGUAGUUUGGGAAUGCUGCUCAAAAUGGGAGGUAUAUCUCUUCUAAAGCUAAAUAUAGGCCAGAGACCGAUAGCGCACAAGUAGAGUGAUCGAAAGAUGAAAAGCACUUUGAAAAGAGGGUUAAAUAGCACGUGAAAUUGUUGAAAGGGAAGCGCUUGUGACCAGACUUGUGCCGGGCUGAUCAUCCAGUGUUCUCACUGGUGCACUCGACCCGGCUCAGGCCAGCGUCGGUUUUCGUGGGGGGAUAAAAGCUUCGGGAACGUGGCACCUUCGGGUGUGUUAUAGCCCGUUGCUUAAUACCUCCGUGGAGACCGAGGU
rnacentral:rRNA from 1 species